rnacentral:misc_RNA from 1 species
GAUGAAGAACGUAUCGAAAUGCGAUACGUAAUGUGAAUUGCAGAAUUCAGUGAAUCAUCGAAUCUUUGAACGCAUAUUGCGCUCUUUGGUAUUCCGAAGAGCAUGCUUGUUUGAGUAUCAGUAAACACCUCAAAGACUUCAAUUUGUUUUGAAUGGCUUUGGACUUGAGCAAUCCCAACACCAGUCUUUACGAUCGGUGGAGGGUUGCUUGAAAUGCAGGUGCAGCUGGACAUUCUCCUGAGCUAAAAGCAUAUUUAUUUAGUCCCGUCAAACGGAUUAUUACUUUUGCUGCAGCUAACAUAAAGGGAGUUUGACCGUAUUGGCUGACUGAUGCAGGAUUUCACAAGGGUCGGCAACGAUUCUUGUAAAACUCGAUCUCAAAUCAAGUAAGACUACCCGCUGAACUUAAGCAUAUCAAUAAGCGGAGGA